AUUUAAAAUCUCAAAUUUUAAAUUCUAAAUUUUAAAAUUCAAACUUUAAAUAUAAGAUCAAAUUUAAAUUUUAAAAAUAUAAAAUAUCAAAUUUUAAAUUUAAAAAAAUUUAAAAUAUUAAAUGUUAAAUUUAAAAUUAAAAGUUUAAUAUUUAGAAUUGAAAAUUGUAAACUUUAAUUUUUUAUUAUUAAUAAAUUUAUAAAUCUUUUAAAAAUUCUCGCUAAACUUAAAUUUAAUAAAAAAUAAUUUAUUAUAAUAUUUUAUUUUUAUUAUAAACUUAUUAAUGGUACUAUAUUAAUACAUAUUAUUUAUAUUUAAAUAUUAUAAUAAAUUUUAUAAUAAAUUAUAUUUAAAUAUUAUAAUAAAUUAUUUUUUAUUAAAUUUAAGUUUAGCGAGAAUUUUUAAAAGAUUUAUAAAUUUAUUAAUAAUAAAAAAUUAAAGUUUACAAUUUUCAAUUCUAAAUAUUAAACUUUUAAUUUUAAAUUUAACAUUUAAUAUUUUAAAUUUUUUUAAAUUUAAAAUUUGAUAUUUUAUAUUUUUAAAAUUUAAAUUUGAUCUUAUAUUUAAAGUUUGAAUUUUAAAAUUUAGAAUUUAAAAUUUGAGAUUUUAAAUGUUAAAAUUUUAAUUUCAAAUUUUGAAAUUUAAAAGUUAAAAUUUUUAAUUUAAAAAUAUAAACAUAAAAUUUAAAAUUCAAAUUCAAAUAUAAUAAGAGGGUAAUAUCAUUAUUUUUAAUUUAUAACUACCCACUAUCCGUCUUACUCUAUCUUACCUAUACAAAUACUAUUUUUCUUAUUUCCGAGAACAACCUAAUUUUUAUCCAAAUACAAAAUUGAUCUAGUUUUUGUUUAUAUCUAAACUUAUAUCUAUCCCUGAAAUAAACAGUUCUUAUUUAUACCCGAACCAAAUGAUAGCUUAACUUCUAAUCCCAAAAGAAAAUCCGUAUUCAUCUAAAUUAAUGUCCAUACAUCAAGAAUUUAUCUGCUUUUUGCUUAUCUUUCAAUUUUAUUUGAACUGUCCAAUUUUUAUGCAGAGAAAAGAUUCAAAACCGAGUAAAAAUAUACAAAAUUUAUCUGAACUAUGAAUCAUUUUAUAUCAACAAUUCAAACUUUCAAAAUUUUGAUUUUUACUAUCCAACUUUUUAAUUUAUUUGGUUUUAAUCAGCCAGUAAUAUUUCGACUUCAAAAUUUAAGCUAAUAAUUACUUAAUUUAAUAAAUUUAUAGUUACAAGAAUUGCACAAAGUAUACUAAUAAAACUUGUAAAGAUAAAUAACUUGAAGACAAAAUGCCUUUGAUGGACUCAAAUCAAACAAAUUGAAAAAUUAAAUAGUAAAAUUAAAUUUUUUAAAGACUGGGUAGCCUAAUCAAAAUGAUCCAUAGUUCACUUAGUCAGUUUUUGCAUGUGUGUAUAUAUAUAUAUUUAUACUAGUGUAAUGACCCGCGCUUCGCGGCGGGAGGUCGUAACGUUGAGAGCUAAUAAUAUGACUUUCAUUAUAUUUAUUUAUCACGAAACAUACAGAUAUAUAUAACAUUCACAUUAUGUAAGAUAACUAAAUAUAUAAUAUAGAUUAUCUAAUACGAUUUGAUGUCUUUGAUAAUACAAAUAUAAUUGAUAAAAUAGUUCUUAGAUCAUUAUGGCCUAUCAGUUCCACUUGAUUUCUUGCGGGUGUUAACUUUGCUUGGUCCUUUUCCAGUUUUCGAACUGCAUACGUAUGAACAAUAUGUCAUAUAUAUAUAUAUAUAUGGUGGAAUAAAAAUACAAAAAAUAUUUUAAAAAUAUUAAUACUUACAAACGUGGUUUUUUCGCUACAGCAGAUGUUUCAAUAGGCAAAUCACUAUCGUUGUUGUCGAGCAUCUUCAUAAAUUGAAUUGGUAUGCAACCACUCAGUCAACAUUGUUUUUUCAAUGCUUGGUCUACGUAAAAGACUUUCUAAAUUUUCAGUAUUGUGGAAAAUAAUAUUAUUCAUUGAAGGAAGAUAUACUCGUAGUCGCUCAACCGAUGGUUCUCUAAAAUGGAUAUCAAAUUGGAACAAACGGCAAGUUGCUUCAUAUGCAGAUAAAUAGAGUUGAACUGUGCUACUAUUAGUAGCAAAAUCCCAUUGUUGCUACCAGUUUUUUAGCCUUUGGAUCAACUCUUUUUAUUAUUUCUAACCAUUGGAUUAAAUACUAUAACCCAGUGGGGACCACUCAACCCUAGGGGGACCACUCAACUCUAACCGACUAAUAUCAUCCUGACCCUACAAUUUUUCAUCCAAGGUGUCACGCCCCGGGGUCCCCUUUUAGUUUGAAACACCGCGGAAAAGCGUUUAAAUUUUUUUUUAAAAAAAAAAAAAAAACCUGACCCCAGAGUAUGCUUGAUCCGCCACAAAUACAGGGAAUCCACUGUUCACACGGACCGAGUCUCCCCUGUAUUUGCACGGCGUCGCACAAGUACCAAAGUACAAACAGUAUACAACCACAACUAAAUGAAUAUACAGAUAGCUAUACAUUCAUACAUUCACCAUUCACACCGUAGUUUUACAUUCGAUGUUUAAACAAAAGUCCACGAAAAAUCUUUUGAAAACUGUUCCAUACGCGAAAACUUUUAUCUUUUAUAAAAGCUACCACGAGGGGUAGAAAACCUUUUAUUUUACCAAAUCCAGAAAUCUUUUUAUUACAUUCAUGAAAGUCCACAUAUUCCAAUAUAAUAAAAAUACUAAAUCAUAUAAACUGACUAAGCUAUAACAACAUAAUAGUAGGGAUAAAACUAAACCGAUAAUCUGGGUCGGAAGCUCUAUCGACCACUACGAACGUACCUCACGUCUCGUCCCAAAACUCAACGCCUGCAAUACCUGAAAAAUGGUGGGGGAUGUGAGAACAUGUAAACAUGUCUCCCCUCCCAGUGGGUACCGCAAGCCGACGAGGGCGAGGAGUACUCACCGGAUCAGGAAGAUAAACAAUAGUAUAUACGUAAGUGGAAUACAGUAGCAACGAUCACAACGAAAGAGAUAUAGAUAUGCAAGAACAACUACCGCUACUGUAAAUAGAACGACAAGCGUACAUACAGGGAUAUCCGACUAUAAUAGCAAGACAAGGGUGCGAAGGAGCUAAACUGCUUAACGGCUACCGCUACUGUAACUGGAACAGAAAGCAAACCUGGAUAAACACUAUAGUGGCAAGACGACUAUAAAGCAAGACUGUAAGUAUGCAUCAACCGGUCGCAUAUAUCAAAAUACCCAAUCUAACCCUGCCAUGUUGGUCCGGAGACCUCAGGCUCGUGCCAUAUCCACUCAACCUGCAUAUAACCCAAUCUAGCCUUUGGGCUCACGGGUCGGACGUACGACCACUUUUCCGGAAAAGAACACUCCCUGCGGUGGAUCAGACCGCUAGUGUUCGUGAAAUGCUAACGAGUGGUGGCGAUCGAUGCUGAUAUGCUCAAUAGCCAACCGUCGGCGACCAGCCGACAAUCACUGCCCCUCUGGGCAUACCGACCGUGUAAGGACUGAGAUUUUUUUUUGACAGUGCAACUAAACUCUCUGUUGACGAUGUUUAUGUGUGUAAUUUAAUUACAUAAGCACUCGUCAAGUUUCAGGAGAAAAUGAGCUUAAACGGAGAAGUUACGCGAUUAUUAGUUUUCACUUAAGUGAAUAGUAACUCCGGUUUUCCGGAGAAGCCACGGAGUAGAGUUGGCUUCUGGUGCGUAUCGGACUCCGUUCAUAUCAGUCCAAUAGCUCGUUUCGACCGGUUCAGCUGUUCUAGAACUAGUGGCGCUGACGGAUUUUGAGUUCGACGCACGGAUUUCGAGAAAAUCCAAAAAUACAUAUUUUAUAUGUAUUUGUGUGUGUGAUUCCUUCUAUUGGAAGAAGGUUGGAUUUUGUCGUGAAUCCGUGGUCGAUCGAGACGAAACGAAAGUGUAGCUUUGUUGUCUCCGAGGUGCUGAUUGCACUGGUACGAUCCGUUCGCAAAUCUGACGGACGGAUCUGCAGAGAUUGCACGUUGAUCGAGGAGGGGUCGGUGUGGGGAAAACGGUAUUUUUGCAAAAGUCGCAAUAUUUUAUGUACCGUUUCGCUUGAGAUCGCACGUGGAGGGGUAUUAGUGUGUAUUACUCGCGCUGUGAAGGACUGAGUUUGGAAUUAUUUAUCCUUGAGGGGCUUUCUUGCAAAGUACACCUUGUAGAUAUGCAUUGUUAGGGCUUUCUUGCAUGGAACCCUAACCCUAAGCCACCUAACUUACCCUAACCCACCCUAGCCGCCUCUGCUCUCGCCAUGCUCGCACCCCGGCCGCCGGCGGGAGCUCCGGCCGCUGGGAACUCCGUGCCUGGCCACUCCUCUAUCUUUUCCUCCACCCAACCCUUACCACCUUUAUCUCGGAUCAACCUGAGUGAUCUACUCCUUGGGCCCUCUCCUCUGGCCGUGGUCCCCAUCUCCGGCGAAGGCCCNCGACCACGACUGCCAUCAAGACCUGAUAUAGCUUAUGUGAGGACACAGGAUAGCCAGCCAAGAACGCAAGCAUGAAAAUCAACUGUAGCUCGUCAUAGAUGUAUGAUAAAAAUAAAUGAGACGGACCAACAAGAUACACAUCAUAGGACAUAUCCCCAUCUCAUCUACCGUAAGCAUAUAUGAUAUGAACACUGGACCAACCAGCCAAGAGGACAAACGUAGCCACUGGACAAACCAGCAAGCAAUGAAAGGCAUGAAACUGGAUAGAGCCAGCCAAGUGCAACAAUGAACUACUGGAUGUGCCAGACAGUGCGGGGCCCCAGGGGAAAAACAAACUUUGUGUCGCCUUUUCGCAAAUUUUAAAAAAAAAACUUUUGGACUGGGGUCUCAUACAGUCUAGGCGGUGUUUAUGUCCCUUAGGUGACAAGUGUGCCUGUCUCAGAGGGGACAUAAACGUGCCGCAGUGUGUUCAUGUUUUCAUGUUUGUCGUAUGUUGGUGUUGAUUUACUUAUAUGUCUAUUGAUAUGUAAGUAUGUAAGUGGUAAGUGUGGCAUCAAAAUGUAAGUUACAAAUUUGUUUUCAGGUGCUUUUAGAAAACUUUUGACAAGGUACGCACUUUUGAAAAUAGAAAAUAUUUUCGAUGGUGCUCCCCAUCUUUUGGAAAAUAAAAUGGUUUAGGUCUUUAGGAAAAUUAUGCAAGUACUUUCAGGUAUAUAAGGUUACAUUAUUUUUUUUAUGACUUGGUAUAUUUGACUGAUUCGAUAUUGUUGUCUUAUCAUCCCUAUUUUGAUUUGGCUAUUGGACCCAGCCUUCGAGAUAGCUGGCGAUGUUUGCAUGGAGUGCAGAGCAGGGUUGUGGGUUACGGACGUUAUGGACUUUUUGUCACCCCCUCCACUCUUGUACUUUUGUACAAAGGGGAGGGUCACCCAUGGCGUUCGGCUUCUUCCGCUCCUCAUGAGUGGCCUAGUCCUUCUCUAUUGGUUGUCAUACCCAUUCAUUGCAUGUCAUCGUUAUUAUUACUUACUUUCUCUGUAUAUAUACUUUCUUUCAUGUUGAUGGCGAUGACAUUACUUGUUGACUUACGUAUGUACAUUGUUCUGAUAUCAUCGUUCUGUUACAUUGCUUUCUUGACUUCUAUAUGUUCAUUGGUGACGAUGAUAUCAAUAUACGCAGUUGGCUUGUUCAUCAGGUUUCAUGGGUUAGAUUUGGCGGCACAGCCAGAUUCCUGGAGUCCGUUUUCGGUGAUAGACGAGUGUGGACCGUACAUUGGGAUCGUGUUUCUCUUGUGGCGACCCGAGUGCCCAGCCUACAUGCUGGUGAAAAGGCCUUUUCUUGUGGGAGAACGCCACCUAGUCUGGCGACCAUAAGCACUUUACGCUUGCUCACCACUGCUAGCUACGACUAUACGAGUUAUCGGUUGGCAGCCGCGGGUCGGCUGUUAGUGACGGAGAGACCCGUAUGGCUGGCACAUCCAGUAGUUCAUUUUUUGCACUUGGCUGGCUCUAUCCAGUUACAUGCCUUUCAUUGCUUGCUGGUUUGUCUAGUGUCUACGUUUGUCCUCUUGGCUGGUUGGUCCAGUGUUCAUAUCAUUUGUACUUACGGUAGAUGAGAUGGGGAUAUGUCCUAUGAUGUGUAUCUUGUUGGUCCGUCUCAUUUAUUUCUAUCAUACAUUUAUGAAGAGCUACAGUUGAUUUACAUGCUUACGUUCUUGGCUGGCUAUCCAGUGUUCUCACAUAGCUAUAUCAGGUCUUGACGGCAGUCGUGGUCGGCUGUUAGGAUGGGGAGUGCCAUGUGGCUGGAGUUUCCAGUAGCUUGUUGUCUUCAGUUCUUUGUCUGGUUGGGUUAUGUAUUACGUUGUUGGCUGGUUGGUCCAGUUGUCUAUAUUCUAUUUUCGUGGCUAGGUGAUCCAGUGGCUUUGCUUCAUGCUCUUAGGAUGGGGAGUCCCAUGUGGCUCGAGUUUCCAGUAGCUCCUGCCCUGGUUAGUACAGUCGACCCAGUGUAUACAGUAUUUGUAUGAGAUGACACAUGUGUACUCAUGUGAUAUUAGUAGGCAUUGCCGCAAUCGGCUCUUAGGCUGGGGAAUCCCAUAUAGCUGGAGUACCCAGUAGCAUACCUCAUGUUCAUGACAUGAAGAUGUGUACUAUGUAGCUUUGGCCUUGUUUCAUGCUCCUGGCUGGUGAGCCCAGUGACCAUAGUAUACACCGAUUUGAUGAAAUGAGGAUGUGUACUAUAAUCCGUAUCUUUGGAUACUCAUCUCAUAUUAUCUUUGUUGCCCCUACGUUCGAGUUAUAGAUUAUACUAUUAUCGUCGUCUUCUUAUCCCUAUCUACUUUACAGUGGCUCGCACGUGGUGACAUGGCUGAAGCCUAACUUCAUGGGUGGACAUGUUGACAACGCGGACAGAGGACUGACGUCUUCCUGCAGUUGACCUGGAUUCCUCCCAGGUGACCCAAUCACAGAUUGGAUGUCGAUUAUUGGUGAUCUAGGUGUUGGAUGUUCGUUUGGGUACCUCUAGCCAAAGGGUUUGGCUAGCGGCAUUAUGCGGCCUUCAGGGCAUUAACGUGCCCCUGAGGCGGCCCUCGGUGCUUGACAGGGCCUUGUAUGGCUGAGCUCGAUGCUCAGUGGACGACGGUGAUUUGUAUUUAUUAGCACGUAGUACCGUCGCUUGUGUUGAGGAGCACAGCUUUGUUAAUAGCAGCCUAUUAGCAAAGCUAAGCCCAAGGGCCUUCACAGAUUAAGCUGUGGCCUUGGGUGGCAGCCAGUGGGCAGUAAAAGCUUGAGAGCUUUACUGCGUUCACUGGUCGGUUGUUCCGAGUCGCUGAUGCGUUUUCGAGUGCUUCGUGGCAGCCUUAUUAAGGCUUGGCUUGAGCGCAAGAAAGCCGCCUAAAGCAGCUUUUUGCGCGGCCUUAACGGAAAAGCUAAAAGCGCUUCCCAGACCCCAGAACCUGUUGUUCAGGUCUCCAGUUUGUGUGAGUUUGUGUGACGGGUGUCAUCGGUGUUCCACGUGUUAACGUGUUUUCGGGGACAUAAAUGUAUUUUAGGGUUAUAAAAUACAUUUAGCCCGCUACUGUACCGAGCAAGCGCGUUUGGCUCCCGAAGGCUCCAGAUGUUUCUGUGCUUGUCUGUUCAGAGCUGCAUGACCUCCGGCACGAGUACUAGACCUCGUGUUUCCGAGUGACACCCUUCGCGCCCUCGUUGGGCUUCAAGACGCUUGUCGCGCGUCAGCCCCUUCUAGUGCGGUUUCGUCCCGAUUGACCUGUGACAACUAGGUUUCACUCCACUCGUGACACUGGUCUUGACUGGUUGCUAGUGGCACGAGUGGAGGCCUCCGUAGUCCUGUCGGAGCCUAGCGGCCUAUUCGCACGCGUUUGGGUUUUGUCGUCGGUUUGUCCGAGUUAUCCCAGCUGUUACGGCCUUGUCGACUUGCCUCAGAGGGGCUGUCUUAGAUUCCACUCGUGCUACUAGUCGUUAAACGAUGCUAGUAGCACGAGGGAAGGCGUCUCUAGUCCCUCCGAGCCCUUCUAGUCUUGCGUUUUGUAGAUUUUAUCCGGGAUAAAGCCCGAACCGGCCUCGUUCCAACGAGGCCGGCCGAAGGCCGCCGUGCGGCUCCACGCGCGUCCGGUCUCUACCCACGCCCCCUCCACUCCUUAUGCUACGAGUGGAGCCAACCGCCGCCUCUCUCUGCCGCCGCUGCCGCCUUGCUCGGCUCGGGCGUGUUCGAUUCCGUGCCAGGUCGCCGAGGAGGGUCGCUGCCGCUACCGGCCCUGUCCAGCCCCUGCUGUCGCCGCCCAGGGGUCUACGGCCUUCUCCUCUUCCCUCCGCCGCCCGCCGCCGUCGCCGUCGGGUGCCGAGCUCGCGACAGCGAGCUCGAUCCGAGCCAACGUCUGGACCCGCCGCCGCGGGUCCCAAGUCCCGCCGCCGCCGCCGCCGGGCUUCCCGCCGCCGCUGGCCGGCCCUCCCAGCCACCCUGUGUCCUCUGUCGGCGCCCUCGAUGGGGUCCACCGACGCCGCGCCUCCUCUCCCGCGUGUCUCUGCGACAAUCCUACCCCUCAGGGUACACCGACCUCAAAGGUCAUCGACGACGGGACUCAUGAAGCUGACUCACUAGGUCACAAACAUACCAAACAGUGGAACUGAGUAAACUAUAAUCAUCCGUCGGCGUUAGCCGACAAUCCCACCCCUUAGGGUAUAUCGACCUCAUGGGUCAUCGAACGGAGUACAAGAACUGACCAACCAGGUCAUCGAAAACGAAGUACGAGGACCGACCACUCGGGUCACUGGAAUCAUAUGUGGCUAAACUACUCUACUCCUACACAUGAUAUCAGGCAUAGAAACAUAUGAGUAGAGUAUAACAGAAACAACAGGGAUGCAAGCUCAAUAUCAAAUAUGAUAAUAACAGCAGAAGAAUAGAGAUAGAAGAAAUGUCACCGAGCGUGCACCACUAUACCGACUUCGGAUUGAAGUACCCACCUGUACAAAUGCUGCGCCUGUCUCCUGACUGCAAAAGGACGUCAACCGGACCUAAGGAAGGUCCACUGGGUUAGUGUCUAACCUACAGCUAAUAACCACUAAAUCCACAACCUACAAGCAAACCCAUGGAGAUCGGUUUCCCAAACCGAUCGCCGUAAUACGCCGGAAGUCCCGUAAUCGCACGGGGACUCCGCCGGGAGCCACGAACUGUCCCGGAACAUACCGACUCGAGCUACGAGUCACCUGCUGCCACUAAACAUAAAUAAUCGUGCAUCAUGGCAGCGAACACAACUCCUCAUGUCGAAACAAUUAUCGUCGGAUAAUCGUUUCGAUUCGGGUCCCCGGAAGUGUCUAAUUCGACACCGGAACCCACCGUCGCUCACCCGUCAUUUCCGAACUCUCGAAAUGACGCAAGUGACCAGCCAACAAGGCUCAGCGACUACGCAAAAGCUCACGAAGCACCAUCGGAAUAAUUCCGAACCGAACCCGCGUUCCGUCGGCGGAUUUCGCCGAAAAACGCACCGGAAAUGCAUUUUCGAUCUUCGCAAGGGUCUGGGGCCUUGGACAAUCAGUCCAGAGGUUAUCCUCAACCAACACUUGCUGCCAACAGCAGCUACGACGAACCAAAAUGCAUAAAAGCCCUCCUGAAUACCUGAAAUCGCAUUAUUUCAUGCGAUUUCGGCGCUUUUAUGGUCCGACAACGCAAACCAGAGGUCAAACAGCCAAGACGAGACUCUCGCUGACUGGUCUCGGCGUGCCGGAGGCCGUGCUCACCUUUCAGAGCACUGCCGGCCACUGUGGCACGCGCACGGGCGAUGCAAAAUUAGUGAAACAGCGCGCACAAUAGGAAAAGCAUGCUUAUCUCGCUAACCAGGGGCUCGUUGACCCUAAGUGAGGUGAGCACUGUGAUCAGGACUGACUGACGAUCACCGUGCUCACCUCCGGAGGCAUCGGAACAGCCUCAGGUCGCUGGAACAGUGAGUAGAACAGAAAACACUACGCAGAAAGGCUGAAAACAAGCUUACCGGCCAGGGGAGAGCUAGGGUUGGCCGCCGGUGGCUGGACGGCGGGCGGCCCGACCAGGGGAGGGUGCGGCCGGUCGGUGGAGUCCGGGGCACCUGCUGGCUGGCGGCGGGAGGCGGCCAGUUGCGCGGCGGAGGAGAUCAACUCGAUCUCUUGCUCUCGGGUUCAAUGCUUCCCGGCGGCGUGGCGGCGGUCGGAGGAGGUCGGGGCGGCGACGGGGCGGGGGGUGAGAUUCUGCCAGAGGAUGGUGGUGCUCGGGCUCACAAGCUUCCCCGAGCACAGCAGCCAACAAGAUGCAAGUCGGGGCCCGGAGGAAAAUCGAGAGGAGGCCGGGGUGGCUCUUCCGGCGGCCGGACGAGCUCGCCGGCGGCCGGGACGCGCGCACAAGUUGGGCGGGGACCAGCUGAGGUCGGCUAGGGCUAGGUAGGGAGCACGGUUGCAGGGUCUAGGGUUCCUCAUGGAUGAAACCCUAGGAAUACAAUAUAAACAACGGCCACUUUGCACCAAAGUCCUCCGAAACAGAAAAUUUGCAACAGAGACCUUCACAGCGCGAGUAAAUCGCGUGUACGCACCUCCACGUCCGACCUCGUGCGAUUCGGUACAUAAAAUAUGGGGACUUUUGCGAAGUUUCCGAUUUGCCACAAUCGACCCCUCUCCGAACAUCAUGCAAAAUCCGGCAAUCCGUUCAUCGGAUUUCCGAACGGAUUGCACCAUCGCGUUCAGCACGACGAAGGCAAUGAAACUAGAAUUUGUUUCGAUCGAUUUUGUUGCCGAUUCGCGACAAAACCCAACGCUCUCCAAUUAACACAUAAAUUACACAUAUACCAAUGUGUAAACCCAACAAAACCCAUUUCGCAUCAGAAAUGGACUUCCCUACUACAAGUAGGGACCCAAAACAACCUUCACCCUACCCCAAGUCGUAAGCACGGAACACAAGGAGUUUCACAAUGCACGAAAGGCAAGGAACGAAAAUCAUCUUUUUGAUAAAACUCCUUUUUUCUCAAAAACCGUGCAUCAGAUCUGAAAUCCGUCAGUGCCAUUGGUUCCAAAACAGCUGAACCGGUCGAAACGAGCUAUUGGACUGAUAUGAACGGAGUCCGAUACGCGCCAGAAGCCAACUCUACUCCGUGGCUUCUCCGGAAAACCGGAGUUACUAUUCACUUAAGUGAAAACUAAAAGUCGCGUAUCUUCUCCAUUUUAGCUCAUUUUCGCCCGAAACUUGACGAGUGCUUAUGUAAUUAAAUAACACACAUAAACAUCAUCAACAGAGAGUUUAGUAGCACUGUCAAAAAUCUCAGUCCUUACACAAGGGUUAAAAACUUGAUAGCAAAAAGAGUUUUUUACUAUUAAUAGUAUUCCAUCCUAAUUCCAGAUAAAUAUCUGCAAUCUAUAUAUGUUUUGAUUUCAUCAAUCUCUUGUUUUUUCUUUUUGUGAAUAUCAAUGCUAUAUAUAGAAAAAAUUAGGGGGAGGAUGCAUGCACUCUCAUGAUUAGAAAGAUAGCAAAAGGACAAGACAAUAUUCUAUGUACUAUGAAUUUUUUUGUUUCAUGCACCCUGUGUAUGUAGUAUGAAAAAUUUUGUAAGAAAAAAGGUUAUCUUGUGGGUGAGAUACUAUUUCUAUUGGACUUAAUAAAAUAAAAGACAAUUUAUAAAUAAUCCAUGGUGAAAUUGAAAUGAAAACAAGAGAUUUAGAAUUUUCUGUAAGGAAUAAAUUUUUUUUUAGAAGAAAAUAUACAGUGUAAAAAAAAUAUUAAACUUUGAAUAUAUGCUGGAAUUAUUUUUCUUAGGCUAGAUUUAAAAUUUCGUGUCAUUCUGACACUCCAAAAAUGAAGACGGAAAAUAGUAGCAAUCCGAUAAAGAUUUUAGUUGGUAGACCUUUCGGCGACAAAGAAAAUUAAGGUUCAAAACUGUAAAAUUAAGAUGACGUUCUUCUGAUUGAUUUUAACUGAGCUUGCUUUUAAAAUCAUUAUUGUUUAACAUGAUACAGAGGGUGCAUGGAAUAAAAUUUUCUAUAGUACAUGCCCCUUUAACAUAGCCUCUUGCCUUUAAAAUCAUUAUUGUUUAACAUGAUACAGAGGGUGCAUGAAACAAAAUUUUGCAUAGUACAUGCCCAUUUAACAUAGCCCAUGUGAGUCUAUGUGAGGGAGGGAAAGCAUGUGAGGGAGAGAGAGAAAACCCAUAUAAAAAAAGGCCACGUGGCUCGAUGGAGAAACGGUAUUUGAUUUCAACUUUAGUUUAGAGUUUAAUAGAGAGAGAAAGAGAGUGAGAGAGAGAGUACAACUCUUGUACUUUUAAAAGCAUAAAGGUUUGUGUACUUUCAAGUUAUUUUUCAUGAUGGAUAUCUGAUUUGACGAUUAGCUCAGUUAGGCAUGACCUAUGUUAUAGAACUAUUUAGAAAUUAAAUUUUAUAAUUUUUUUUACAUCAUUUGCAAAGUUAUCAAAGGAUCUCAAAAAUAUCAAUUUGGCACCUUUACAAAUUCAACU
rnacentral:lncRNA from 1 species